rnacentral:sRNA from 1 species
GAUUUGUGAAUUUCAUUUUCCUAUUUGAAAUCUCUUUACUAUAUAACUAGCCUUGUUGGGCGCGAUCCACAUAUGUAUUAUAUGAUACUUUUGCUCAUUAGUUAAAAAAAACAAAAUGAAUAGUUAUUAGUCAAAACCCAAUGUAGAGAUAUUGCCGACGUAGUCAACACAUAUGAAUAUGAUAUGAUCCUGCAAAAAAUUUUAACGACGUUAGAACCUAAAGAACAUAUGUGUUCUGGAACCACCUUUCUGUCACUUAACUCUGUCAUCACCUUUCGAAUAAAUGAUUUAAGGAGUUCUCUAGAAGACUAGAAUCUUCCGUAACCUAAAACUCAACCUCAUGUAGAAAGACUCACAAAUCCAAUUCCUCUAUUCUCCUGCGAAAAACGGUUUCUUUAUAUCUCUCACGAUUUGAUUUCCUCUUCGCUUUUUUUAAUUGAAUUGAGAUUGAUGGAUGAUAAUUUUAAUUUCAAGAUUUUUUUGUUAAUCUUGUAAUGGAAAAUAUUAAAAAUAAUUGCUUCAAUAUUGCAAAGCUUUGAUAUUUUAGAAAACAAUUUUAUUUAAUAAAAGUGAUAUAUAUAUAUAUAUAUAUGUUAUAGUAUAUUAAAAGUAAAUUAGAUUUAAAAGAAAGUGAGUGUAUAAGAGACAAAACACGAAAAAAAAAAUAUGAUUGAGGAUGACAAAUGGA